GCAUUAAUGGGGUAGUGGUAACCUGGGUUGUUGCCAUGUCCUGGAAAAGAUGUGUCGACCCGCCGGGGGUUCGAUUCCCCCUUAAUGCA